UACGUAGGGGGCAAGCGUUAUCCGGAUUUACUGGGUGUAAAGGGAGCGUAGACGGCGAUGCAAGCCAGAUGUGAAAUCCCGCGGCUCAACCGCGGAACUGCAUUUGAAACUGUGCUUCUUGAGUGCUGGAGAGGCAGACGGAAUUCCUAGUGUAGCGGUGAAAUGCGUAGAUAUUAGGAGGAACACCAGUGGCGAAGGCGGUCUGCUGGACAGUAACUGACGGUGAGGCGCGAAAGCGUGGGGAGCAAACAGG
rnacentral:rRNA from 1 species